CCGGGACCAUCCGGUAAGGCUAAAUACUCCCGAGAGACCGAUAGCGAACCAGUACCGUGAGGGAAAGGUGAAAAGCACUUCGAACAGAAGAGUGAAAUAGUUCCUGAAACCGUGCGCCUACAAGCGGUCGGAGCUCGUUAAUGAGUGACGGCGUGCCUUUUGCAUAAUGAACCUACGAGUUGCCUUUGCCGGCAAGGUUAAGUGUGACGACACACGUAUCCGAAGCGAAAGCGAGUCUGAAUAGGGCGUAUAGUCGGCAGUGGCAGACGCGAAACCAAGUGAUCUACCCUUGGCCAGGUUGAAGGCUGGGUAACACCAGCUGGAGGACCGCACCAAUAAGCGUUGAAAAGCUUCUGGAUGAGCUGAGGGUAGGGGUGAAAGGCUAAUCAAACUUGGAGAUAGCUCGUACUCCCCGAAAUGCAUUUAGGUGCAGCCUUGCGGGUUACUGAUGUGAGGUAGAGCGACUGAUAAGAUGCGAGGGCUUCACCGCCUAUCAAGUCUUGACAAACUCCGAAUGCGCAUCAGUUCUACCGCAGGAGUGAGGGCAUGGGUGCUAAGGUCCGUGCCCGAGAGGAGAAGAAUCCGGACCACCUGCUAAGGUCCCGAAAUGACAGCUAAGUUAAACUAACGAAGUCUGACUGCUAAGACAGCUAGGAUGUUGGCUUGGAAGCAGCCAUUCAUUUAAAGAGUGCGUAACAGCUCACUAGUCGAGGAGUCGGGCGUGGAUAAUAAUCGGGUAUUAAGUUGUCUACCGAAGCAGUGGGAUCAUUUAUAUGAUCGGUAGGGGAGCAUUCCAGUCAGCGUCGAAGGCGUACCGUGAGGUAUUCUGGAGCGUCUGGAAAAGCAAAUGUAGGUAUAAGUAACGAUAAAGGGGGCGGGAAACCCCCUCGCCGAAAGACUAAGGUUUCCUGAUCAACGCUAAUCGGAUCAGGGUCAGUCGGGUCCUAAGGCUCAGCCGAACGGCGAUGCCGAUGGCAGAAACGGUUAAUAUUCCGUUACUACCUUCAGGAGUGACGUGGAGACGCAGUAGUGACAGUGCCGCCAUCUGACGGAAUAGAUGGUUGAAGGGUGUAGGAGUCGAUCAUGGCAGGCAAAUCCACCAUGAGAUCCGAACCUGACAGUAUGCCGCGUCCUUCGGGACAAGGCAAUAGUGCGCGUAAGCAUGCUGCCGAGAAAAUCCGCUAAACUUAAUCCUGGAGGUACCCGUACCGCAAACGGACACACGUAGUCGGGAUGAAUAUUCUAAGGCGCUUGAGUGAUUCACGGUUAAGGAACUAGGCAAACUGACCCUGUAACUUCGGGAUAAAGGGUCCCUACCCUUUUAUGGGAGGGCGCAGAGAAUCGGUCCAGGCAACUGUUUAACAAAAACACAGGGCUGUGCCAAAUCGAAAGAUCCAGUAUACAGCCUGACACCUGCCCGGUGCUGGAAGGUUAAGAGGAGAUGUCAUCGAUGAGAGAAGCGUUGAAUUGAAGCCCCAGUAAACGGCGGCCGUAACUAUAACGGUCCUAAGGUAGCGAAAUUCCUUGUCGGGUAAGUUCCGACCUGCACGAAUGGUGUAAUGAUCUGGACGCUGUCUCAACCGUGAGCUCAGUGAAAUUGUAGUAUCGGUGAAGAUGCCGAUUACCCGCGAUGGGACGAAAAGACCCCGUGAACCUUUACUAUAGCUUAUCAUUGAAUCUGGGCACGUGAUGUGUAGGAUAGGUCGGAGGCUUUGAAGCAGGUACGCCAGUAUUUGUGGAGCCGCUGUUGAAAUACGACCCUUUAUUUGUUUGGAUUCUAACCCGUGGAACGGGGACAUUGAUUGGUGGGUAGUUUGACUGGGGUGGUCGCCUCCAAAAGCGUAACGGAGGCUUCUAAAGGUGCCCUCCGGCCGAUUGGUAACCGGCCUUAGAGUGUAAUGGCAUAAGGGCGCUUGACUGGGAGACUAACAAGUCGAUCAGGUAGGAAACUAGAGCAUAGUGAUCCGGUGUUUCC
rnacentral:rRNA from 1 species